rnacentral:rRNA from 1 species
UACGUAGGGUGCAAGCGUUGUCCGGAAUUAUUGGGCGUAAAGAGCUCGUAGGCGGUCUGUCGCGUCGGCUGUGAAAACUCGGGGCUCAACUCCGAGCUUGCAGUCGAUACGGGCAGGCUAGAGUUCGGCAGGGGAGACUGGAAUUCCUGGUGUAGCGGUGAAAUGCGCAGAUAUCAGGAGGAACACCGGUGGCGAAGGCGGGUCUCUGGGCCGGAACUGACCGCUGAGGAGCGAAAGGCGUGGGGAGCGAACAGG